rnacentral:piRNA from 1 species
UCAAAAGGAAUCCUCUACAGA